rnacentral:rRNA from 1 species
AAUAUUUGUCAAUGGAGGCAACUCUGAACCAGCCAUGCCUUGUGCAGGAUGUUGGNCCNNUGGAUNGNAAACUGCUUUUGUACNNNNNGAAAAAGUGAUCCUCGUAGCUUAUUUACUGUACUCUAAGAAUAAGGAUAUGUAAACUCAGGCCCAGUAGCAGCGGUAAUACGGAGGAUCCAAGCGUUAUCCGGAAUCAUUGGGUUUAAAGGGUCCGUAGGCGGCCUUAUAAGUCAGCAGUGAAAGUUUUUGGCUUAACCAAAAAAUUGCCGUUGAUACUGUAGGGCUUGAAUUUUUGUGAAGUAACUAGAAUAUGUAGUGUAGCGGUGAAAUGCUUAGAUAUUACAUGGAAUACCAAUUGCGAAGGCAGGUUACUAACAAACGAUUGACGCUGAUGGACGAAAGCGUGGGUAGCGAACA